rnacentral:rRNA from 1 species
CUACGGGAGGCAGCAGUGGGGAAUAUUGGACAAUGGGCGAAAGCCUGAUCCAGCCAUGCCGCGUGUGUGAAGAAGGCCUUCGGGUUGUAAAGCACUUUCAGUGGGGAAGAAAGCCUUGGGGCUAAUACCCUCGAGGAAGGACAUCACCCACAGAAGAAGCACCGGCUAACUCCGUGCCAGCAGCCGCGGUAAUACGGAGGGUGCGAGCGUUAAUCGGAAUUACUGGGCGUAAAGCGCGCGUAGGCGGUCUGAUAAGCCGGUUGUGAAAGCCCCGGGCUCAACCUGGGAACGGCAUCCGGAACUGUCAGGCUAGAGUGCAGGAGAGGAAGGUAGAAUUCCCGGUGUAGCGGUGAAAUGCGUAGAGAUCGGGAGGAAUACCAGUGGCGAAGGCGGCCUUCUGGACUGACACUGACGCUGAGGUGCGAAAGCGUGGGUAGCAAACAGGAUUAGAUACCCGUGUAGUC